rnacentral:rRNA from 1 species
UAACGAGCGAGACUCUGGCCUACUAAAUAGUUGACGCGUUACCACUGUGCGCACAACUUCUUAGAGGGAUUUUCGGUGUUUUCAACCGCACGAAAUUGAGCAAUAACAGGUCUGUGAUGCCCUUAGAUGUCCGGGGCUGCACGCGCGCUACACUGGCAAACGCAACGUGCCUGUCCUGCCCCGAAAGGAGCGGGUAAACCCCUGAAAUUUUGCCGUGAUUGGGAUCGGACAUUGCAACUAUUGUCCGUGAACGAGGAAUUCCUUGUAGGGGCGAGUCAUCAACUCGUCCCGAAUACGUCCCUGCCCUUUGUACACACCGCCCGUCGCUGCCCGGGACUGAGCCAUUUCAAGAAAACCGGGGAUUGAUGGCCUAACGGCUCCAUACGGGGCCCGCUGGCCGUUAAAAACCGGCUUAAUUGCAAUGGUUUGAACCGGGCAAAAGUCGUAACAAGGUAGCUGUAGGUGAACCUGCUGCUGGAUCAUUA